rnacentral:sRNA from 1 species
CAGGGGAUUGCAGUGGCAAAGCUAGGCUAGGUCUUGGAGGCUGGUGUAAGGCGAUGCGGGUGAAGGCAGGAGGCUGAUGGAAAGACUGGGGGGAAGAAAAGCCGAAAUGGAUUCACGGUGCCUUGGAUGAAGGACGAGAGGGGAACUGCAAGCUCCUUCAACUGGUUCUGUCCGGUGAGAAGUGAUCAAGCUUGGGCUGACAAGAGGCUCAGGGAGCCCUCACGUUCUUUCGCUUUUUUACCUGCCAAUCAAACUGCUACAAGACAACACCCUGAUCUGGCAUGGACAUUCAUUGCAGUCACCUGGAGUCGCGGAAAUGACCAUGAUUGCCUGAACUUUCAUAACUUCUGUGGUUGCAGAAAAGAGAAAACCUGGACUGUGAGGGACAUUUUACUCCCUGACCUUUGCCUUGGUUGUUUACUUGUAUCUAAGACAGAGGUGUCCAAUAUUUUGGCUUCCCUGGGCCACAAUGGAAGAAGAAUAGUCUUGGGCCACACAUAAAAUACACUAAUGCUAACAAUAGCUGAUGAGCUAACAAAUAAAAAUAAAAAUAAAAAUAUGCCAGGCAUGGUGGCUCACACCUGUAAUCCCAGCACUUUGGGAGGCCAAGGCGGGUGGAUCACAA